rnacentral:rRNA from 1 species
UCCUACCGGAGGCAGCAGUGGGGAAUAUUGGACAAUGGGCGAAAGCCUGAUCCAGCCAUGCCGCGUGUGUGAAGAAGGCCUUUUGGUUGUAAAGCACUUUAAGCGAGGAGGAGGCUACCGAGAUUAAUACUCUUGGAUAGUGGACGUUACUCGCAGAAUAAGCACCGGCUAACUCUGUGCCAGCAGCCGCGGUAAUACAGAGGGUGCGAGCGUUAAUCGGAUUUACUGGGCGUAAAGCGUGCGUAGGCGGCUUUUUAAGUCGGAUGUGAAAUCCCUGAGCUUAACUUAGGAAUUGCAUUCGAUACUGGGAAGCUAGAGUAUGGGAGAGGAUGGUAGAAUUCCAGGUGUAGCGGUGAAAUGCGUAGAGAUCUGGAGGAAUACCGAUGGCGAAGGCAGCCAUCUGGCCUAAUACUGACGCUGAGGUACGAAAGCAUGGGGAGCAAACAGGAUUAGAUACCCUGGUAGUCCAUGCCGUAAACGAUGUCUACUAGCCGUUGGGGCCUUUGAGGCUUUAGUGGCGCAGCUAACGCGAUAAGUAGACCGCCUGGGGAGUACGGUCGCAAGACUAAAACUCAAAUGAAUUGACGGGGGCCCGCACAAGCGGUGGAGCAUGUGGUUUAAUUCGAUGCAACGCGAAGAACCUUACCUGGUCUUGACAUAGUAAGAACUUCCAGAGAUGGAUUGGUGC